UUCCUUUGUCUUUAAUAUCGAAGUUAAAUUAACGGAAUCAGGCUACUUAUAUGUUAGGAUUUGAAAAUGGAACCAUGGAAAAUGGAAAGUUAGGCCACAUCACUGAGAACUUGUU
rnacentral:lncRNA from 1 species